rnacentral:misc_RNA from 1 species
UAUGGGAGCGAGCUUGCUCGCGAAGGCGUCAGCCUGGUCAACAUUGGUAUUGUCUGACCCACCGCUAUCGCGAGCAGGCUCACUCCUACA